AAUAUUGCACAAUGGGGGAAACCCUGAUGCAGCAACGCCGCGUGAGCGAUGAAGGCCUUCGGGUCGUAAAGCACUGUCCUAAGGGAAGAUAAUGACGGUACCUUAGGAUGAAGCCCCGGCUAACUACGUGCCAUCAGCCGCGGGAAAACGUAGGGGGCAAGCGUUAUCCGGAAUCAUUGGUCGUAAAGGGUGCGUAGGCGGCCCUAUGGGUCAGAGGUUAAAGGCUACGGCUCAACCGUAGUAAGCCUUUGAAACUGUAGGGCUUGAGUGCAGGAGAGGAGAGUGGAAUUCCUAGUGUAGCGGUGAAAUGCGUAGAUAUUAGGAGGAACACCAGUGGCGAAGGCGACUCUCUGGACUGCAACUGACGCUGAGGCACGAAAGCGUGGGUAGCGAAC
rnacentral:rRNA from 1 species